AUUUCUUUCUGCCACGUAUGUCUCGAGAACCCUGCUUCUUCCGGUCACUCCACGUCUCGAGGCCCCAGUGAACACCUAACCGAGUCUACCUCGAGCCUCGCCAACACCCAGACGGCAGAGAACUCCCUGGACUCUCCAAGGACUGGUCUCAUCUCUACUGCCCUGCCUUCAUUCUCUACCCGUUUCCCGGCGCCGUCAACGAGUCUGCUUCCAGUGUUGGUGAGAUUAGUGUUCCUCUGGCCAUCAUUCGCUCUGGAGGGAGACUCUUGGUGAAAGCUGGGUGGUGCGUAAUUUUUCUUUUGUUAUACUGCGUAUGUUUCUUGCAAGUCUAGGAUAAUUGGAACCAUUCGAAGCUGUUUAUUCCCAUCUCCAUCGGGGUAAGUGUAGUUCAUCCUGGGGAUCGGUUUAGAGGGGACAUGCUAGUGAUGGGGUUUCGCCCCCGCAACAAAUAGACCAAACCAGUAAGUUAUUACUUACAUUUUGGCGACCUCGCCAGGAUAUUGAACUACGGACACUUUGGGGUGUUGGAUGUGUUAAUGCUAAGUUGUGCCAACUCUUACUGUUUAACCAGUUUUUCUAUAUCGAACUGUUUCAGUGGUGCAGUGUUUUGCCUUCUCGGAUGUAUUGUGUAAUUAUGCGUUCGGCCUCGGUGAAUUGAGGAGAUUAGGUGCAGACCCACGUGUCCUCUAAUAUACACUUAAGUGCAUAUCCAGUGCCUUUCAACCACCCCUUAAGUGCAGGUCCAGUGCCUUUCAACCAUUCAACCACCCUUUUCUCUUGUAACGAGCAGCCGCAAAUCUGGAGAUUACGGCUAGUUCACAGUACCUUACUGUGGUUUGGGUAGCAGUAUUUUGAUGUCUUAUUUCGUCGCCUAGACGUAAUUGUGGAGUAGUCAUUGCUCCUAUAGAGGAACUAGUUAUGCUCGGUGUUUGCCAGUCAGUGCUUCUGUACAUGUGCACCUUGUGUGAGGAGUGUCGUUGUGGGGUUUACUUGUAACUAUUUGUGUACGUUUUGCUUGGUUGUGGUGCGAGUGGUUAAGUAACUUCUAUCUACCUGAGAUUUUUGAUACAUCUUUGGGUGUGGUUGUGCACUUGAUAAAUUUUUCUUUUCUACCCCUACCUAUGAGAAAUUUUAUCUGCUUGGGUGUGUACUUGCAUAUUUCAUGUCAAAAUUUUUUUGUUGUUGGGUUUGUUAGUUUUGGUUCUAUUAUGUCUAAGAUGUCUAAUUUCGCUGAGCUUGCAGUAAAGCUCCGCCUCUCAAGAGAGAACGUGAACGGGAAGACAGGAUUAAGGACCGGGAGCGUGAGGAACGAGAACGGGACGAACGAGAGCGGGACGGGAAUUUGAACUUGCCGAGUUGAAGCUUGGUUUAGAGUCGGGAGCACGUCCUACCCAUGUCCCGAUGCUGGCGUGCGAGGACGGAAGCUUCCAGUUUACCAAGGACAUCACUGCCUACCUGACCAGAUUUGAGCGUAUUGCCACGCUCUUAAUCGACGAGGAGUCUCUUGCUAUUAGACUUGGGAGUCUACUGACAGGUAAAGCUGUUGAACUUUAUUCCACCUUUAGCACUGAUACCAUAAGUGACUAAUCUCCUAAAAAGGGCUCUCCUGACAGGUACCGGGUAGACUUCAGGAACUAAGAUCAGAGUGGGAAAAUUACCGCCAGAUGUCGACCCGUCUUCAGCAGCUAUUUGACUCCUAGGUGUUGUCAUAUUUCACCAACGUUUGAAUCCCUUCGUGAGUUGAUCAUAUUAGAUCAGUUCAUUGCUUCCCUUUCUUACGAUUCUUAAAGGAGAAGGAUACCACCAACCUUAAGUCUGCUGUGGCUAAGGCUGAUGUUUGGUCUGCAGUUCACAACGCCUACCCUAAGCAGAACUCCGGCGGAGCCACUGGGAGAUCUACCUACCAUAACAGCCUUUAAAGAACCACAGGACAAAUAAAACGUAGGAUUUUGUAUGGAUGAGCGGUCUCUCCCAGAUUAUGCAGUUGCUGGCACGAUCAACAGCUGCUGGGAUACUACCGUCAGACACCGGCUGCAACUGCAUGAUCGUCUCGGAGAAGGCGGUGCCUCUUGCUGAUGAGACGUCUCUCAUGAAUAGCAAAGCACCAUCCUCCUUGCUCCAAACCUCAGUCAGUGAUUUGGCUAUGCUUCGGUCUUCUCAGCCCACUGCCUCUUCUCUUCCAGCCUCAGAAGAGGAGCUGCCAUUAAUGCGAGCAUAUGCUGUAGAAACCCGCAGUAGCAGAAUGGAGCGUGUUCAUCCUCUAGUUUUGCUAGAAUUGCAACCCUUGGACGUGACUCCAGAGGAUUUCGCUUGUCUUCAAGAAGAGUGUCCGUCUCUUGGUCACAAGGUUAACACAGGUGAAGAGGAGUGGACAAAAGAUGGCUCUAGUUUGUUACCUUCGCUGUUACCUUCGCUGUACCGGACCUUGAAACCUCCAGCAAAAGUUGGUAAGCUCACUCUUGUUCCUUAGAAUUGUCAACCAAUAAGCCUGUCUGUUGGCCAUGAAAACCCUUUAGCAGGUUAUUUCUAUCACGGAAAGACUUUCUUUAAGGUAUCCAGCCACUUCAUCUGGGAUGGGUGCGGAUAUUAGACUUCUGUCGACGAAUGUCUGCCAAAGAAAGUCUGACUAACACCUCUCCAUCCUCUUCCAAUUAUAACAGAACCUUUUUCCAGAGUGGCGGUUGAUUUGGUUGGACCACUGUCUCUCCCAUCCUCAGAAGGCCACAGGUACAUACUCACUUUAAUCAACUACGCCACUGGGUUCCCAGAAGCCGUGCCACUGAAGGAAAUGGACACCAUCUGUUUGCUGAGGCCUUACUCUCCAUCUUCGCUACAGUUGGUAUACCACGAGAAAUUCUCACUGAUCAAGAGAUCUAUGGGAGGACUGCAACUGAAGGACGACGACUGAUUUGCUUUCCACUACGUGGUACAGCAGAAGCUAGCAGAGACUGCAGAUCGCCGCCAACAAUGCAGACCUCAGUGCCUCGAAAUAUAAGACCUACUUUGACCUAGUGUCAAGAUAGACAGUUUCAACCUGAAGUCCUUCCCAGUGAUUCCAGGAAACAUCUUGGAAAGGACGUUUUUGAAAGGAAUCAUCCAACGGUCUUCUCAACAUUCGCCGUCGUGAUGGUUCCUAAGCCAGACAACACUUAUCAGAUGGCCAUAGACUACUGUCAACUCAACAUCUAGGCUGAGCCCAGCUGCAACAUUGAGGAAGGUACCUGCUUUGGUUCCUAAGCCAGACAACGCUUAUCAGAGAUGGCCAUCGACUACUGUCAACUCAACAUCGUCUAGGCUGAGCCCAACUGUAACAUUGAGGAAGGUAUGUACAAGAUUUUUGGUUCAAGAUUCUUCACUGAGUUGGGUCUGCAAGGCUUAUUGUCAAGUCCCUUUGACAGAGCCAUGCUGCUGACAGCCUUCCCAACCCACUUGGGCCUAAUGUUGUUCACCAGACUACCUUUUGGCCUGGUCACUGCUUCUGCCACCUAUAUUGAGCUCUUGCGCAUUGUUCUCUUGGGACUCGCAAACGUGUUCUAUUUUGAUGAGGUUUUUAUAUACUUCCCAGACUGAGCCCUGCAUUUAAAGACCCUUCAUGCUGUGCUGGACAGGAUCAGGACCCAUGGAUUCAUUUUGGGAGGUGACUGUCUUCAACCCUACCGUGACAUAGUGAAAGAUACCACCCCUGUCCACUAAGAAACUUCUAUGAGGAUUUAUUGGAAUAGUGAGUUUCUAAGUCUUUCAGGCAUCCUUCCUCACUGGCCCUCUGACUGAUCUGCUAAGAAAGACUGUUCGUGAGCCCCUUCCCUGGAUGGACAAGUUGCAGGCCUGUUUCAACCAGCUCAAAUUAAUCCUCUUCUAAACCCAUACUUCGUCUCUCUGAUCCUAGCCGUCCUGUUGUACUUAGGACGGACGCUUCCACCGAAGGGAUUGGAGAGGUUUUACUUCAAUAUCAUCUUGGCAUUCCUCAUCCGGUUGUGUAUGCUAGCAGAAAACUGCUCCCCAGGGAAACCCGGUAUUCAACCAUUGAGAGGGAAUACCUAGGUAUAGUAUUCUCCAUUCUCAAGGUUUCUUUUUACCUUGGAGAGAAUUUAUUUUGGAAACGGAUCACAAACCCCUCACCUAUAUGCACACCUUCAAGUGCAAGAAUGAUCAUCUCCAAUGGAGUCUAGGGCUGCAACCAUACAAAUUCAGGGUCGUUCAUGUUGCUGGUGUUGACGAUCUAUGUGCCGACCUCCUCACUUGAGUUUUAGAUGUGUUCUUCUAUCAUAUCUUUUCUCCAGAAGGUAUCGCAUUCCCUAGGAGUGGUGUUCUACAAGACUACCAUGGCUAGUCUCUUGGAGGGGAGAGUUAUGUAAAGGGCAGAACACCACCUCAUUCUGGAUCGUUCAGCCACUCCCGAGCGACACUUCACUCGCUUCUCUCUACCACGUAUGUCUCGAGAACCUGCUAAUUCUGGUCACAUCACGUCUUGAGGCCCCAGUGAACACCUGACCAAGUCUACCUCGAGCCUCGCCAACACCCAAACGGCAGAGAACUCCCUGGACUCCCCAAGGACUGGCCUCUCUUCUGCUGCCCUGGCUUCACCCUCUACCUGCUUCCUGGCACUCAACGAUUCUGCCUCCAGUGUUCCUCUGGCCCUCUUUCCCUCUGGAGGGUGACUCGUGGUGAGAGCCGGGUGGUGUGCAGUGUCCCUUUUGUUGUUGUUUUAUUGUGUAUCUGUUUUUGCAAGUCUAGUAAACUUGGAACCAUUUGAA
rnacentral:misc_RNA from 1 species